AGUACUUGUUGCAACGCUGUAAUCAGUAAAGAAGCUGUCCAACUAACUAAACAGAAAACACGUUAUUUUGAUCCGUAAAAAUCUUUUCUUGUAUUGCAAAAGAAAAAUCUAAAAGGAAACGUUUGCAGCACAGAACAAGAAGGUAUUAAACUUACUUGUGCAUGACGUAAGAAGCACUCGCCAUACUUUCAUACUUGCAUAACUUGGGAAAUACUAGUCCAACAUGCCACCUCAAAGAAAACAGAGGAAGAUUGCAAUUAUGGGCUACCGCUCAGUUGGAAAAUCUUCACUGACCAUCCAAUUUGUUGAAAAUCAAUUUGUUGAUUCUUAUGACCCUACAAUUGAAAACACCUUCACCAAACCAUGGAAAGUAAGAGGGCAAGAUUUUGAGCUAAAGUUGGUGGAUACUGCUGGUCAAGAUGAAUAUGCUAUUUUCCCAGCUCAACAUUCAAUGGACAUGCAUGGUUAUGUACUUGUAUAUUCCAUUACUUCAGUUCAAAGCUUUGAGCUGUUACAAGUUUUGCUAGAAAAGAUUAUGGAUAUGACUGGUAAAAUCACAAUACCUCUUGUUAUUGUUGGUAAUAAAACAGACCUUCACCGUGAAAGAGUAGUCAGCACAGAAGAGGGCAAAAGGCUUGCCGACACUUGGAAAGCCUCAUUUUAUGAAGUUUCUGCUAGGUCACACGAGUCUGUCUGCGAAAUUUUUAACCGACUGAUAACGGAAAUGGAGAAAGCAGAUAGCAGUAAUGGAAACGAAAAGAGCAGUUGUGUUCUGUCCUGAACGGUUUUUCAUAACGACCGUUUUCUCGGUUUCUUGGAUUUGUGAAGCAACGUUGAAAAGCUUUCAUGGAAAGUUGUAUUUCUCGAUUUUGAAUAUCUAAAAUGACAUGGGGGAAAAGAUGAAAUAACGCAACAGAUCUUUUUUUCUCAGAAAAAGAUACACACCGUGCUGAAAAGUGCAUCGUAGUGGAACUGAACUUAAACAAUGUUCAACGCAUCCGUUCAAGAAGAAUGGUUAAUACAUGUACCCCUACUUCCCUUUCAUCCACCAUAGACAUUUCAAAGAAAAGAACGAAACAAUGUUUCAUUCGUGACAAUUCCCCGAUCCGAUUUUCUCGAUAAUAGAUACAUAAUUAUACACCACUUUAACUUAAAUCCAUGUUCGAAUCACUGGAUCCACCUGCAGCAUUUCCAUGAUGUCCGGAGCCAUCUUUCUGGAUCGAGUCGAAAA
rnacentral:misc_RNA from 1 species